UGAAUGCGACUCGGGUCGCUUCCUUCCAAUCCAUAAGAGAAGAGGAAGUGCUGAAUCUCGUCGAAACCAUAAAAUCAAAUGAAGGAUCGGCUGUAAAUCUGAGCCGCAAAGUCUUUUCACUGAGUUAUGGCAUAACAGCGAGGGCAGCCUUUGGCAAGAAAUGCAAAGAUCAAGAAGCCUUCAUAUCAGUUGUUACAGAGGAAACCAAGGUGAAUUCUAGUUUCUUUGUUUCCGAACUUUUUCCUUCACUUAAAUUUCUGGAUACUGUUUUGGGUCAAAAGCAUAAAGUUGAAAAGAUUCAUGGAGAAGCUGACAUGAUACUUGGGAAUAUUGUUAACGAUCACAAAGAAAGUAGAGCAAAAGGCAGAAGUAAAGAUGAAAACAAGGAAAAUCUGGUAGAUGUUCUUUUAAGGAUUCAGGAGGAUGGUGAAUUUCCCUUGACUGACAACAACGUCAAAGCCGUCAUCUUAGUGAGUCCAUUUUCUUUUAUUACAUUGACCUGGAUUUUGGUAGUUGUUCACAAAUUUUAAUGGCCAUGAUGUUAUUUAUUAUGUUGUUUUAGGACAUUUUCAGUGCCGGAAGUGAGACAUCAGCAGGAGCUGUAGAGUGGGCAUUGUCGUAAAUGAUUAAAAACCCAAGAGUUAUGACAAAAGCACAAGCAGAGGUAAGGCAGGUAUUCCAAGGCAAAGGAAAUGUAGAUGAAACAGGCAUUCAUCAACUUAAAUAUCUCAAGUGGGUUAUAAAAGAAACCUUAAGACUGCACCCUGUUAUACCUUUAUUGAUUCCAAGAGAAAGUAUGAAGAAUUGUGUGGUUAAUGGAUUUGAAAUACCUGCAAAGACCAGAGUCAUUGUGAAUGCAUGGGCAAUCGGGAGAGAUCCUAAUCAUUGGGUUGAGCCUGAAAAGUUUGAGCCUGAAAGGUUUGUCAACAGUUCAGUUGAUUUCAUAGGGACAAAUUUCGAGUUCAUCCCAUUUGGGGCAGGAAGGAGGGUAUGUCCAGGCAUAUUAUUUGCUCUGCCAACUGUAGAGCUACCGCUUGCUCAACUGUUGUUCCAUUUUGAUUGGAAGCUACCAAGGGGAAUGAAGCAGGAAGAUAUAGACAUGACUGAGGUGUUUGGUGUAUCUGUGAGAAGGAAAAACGAUCUUGUCGUAGUUCCAAGUCUUUACCGUGCUUCCACUACUGUUGCCUAGAGGCAGGAACAACCUUAGCUUAUACUGCAUUAUUCUAUUAGGUUGGGAUUGAAUCUCAAGCUUGUUUGUUUGCUUAUAUAUGUAUUGUUAUUUAGCCUAAUAGCCCACCACUUUAUAUUUGUAUUUAUAGCCGACGCUAUCAGUGUUCAUGCUUCUUGUGCAUGGUAAAUGUAACUGUAAGGGCCAAUUUCGUCCGGCUAUCAGAGGCGGCGGUCUCUGUUACCAAUGACCGACGGUCAAGGUGAAGCCCCACCGCCCCUAUGACCGACCUGGGGAUAAUGAGAGAAAAGAAAAAAGGAAGGAAGUUAAAAAAAAAAAAGAACAGAGCACAAAUUUUUUUUUUCAAAUUUUUUAAACUUAAAUAGGGUGUGUGACACGACGCCGUUUUGACUUGGUCUCAGAAGUCCCAAAAAGACGUCAUUUUGAUGUAACCCGACGACUCGACCCGAAUCCCCUCAGGAUCUGCGAGCUUUUUUUAGGAUGAGAUAAUUUCUGCCUAGGUCCUUCCACUUUUAGGCACUUUUAAUAUUGUCUUGGAUUUGAUUUUUUUCUUUUUAAAUUCCACCAUUUAAUUUAAUUUUUUUUAUUUUUUGUCCUCUUACCGUUGACCCUUUGGGGAGUGACACGUGUAUAGAUGAUUAGGAUAAUUGUCCUUUUAAUCCCUACAUUUUAAUUUAUUUUAAUUUAUCCUUUUUUUGUUUUUCUUGUCAUUUAUACUUUCAGUUUCAUUUAGUCUCAAUUUACUCUUUUAUUUAUUUAAUUCACCCCCUUUAUUUUCUGCUUUUUAAUUUUCAACACUUUUAAUUUAUGAAUAUUUACAUUUUUGCCCCUUUAAACUAUGCAAUUUUUAUUUUCAUCCUUGAGCGGUUAUAUUUUUAAAUUUUUGACAUUAAAUAUGGUGUUAAUUAUGUCAUGGUUAUAAUUACUAUUAUUACUAUCAUGUUAUUAUUAUCGUCAUUGACUAUUUUACCCUCAUUACUAUUACUACAAUCAUUUUAUUCUUUUAUUAUAAUACUAUUUCAUUUGUAUCUAUGUAGCUAUUUUAUUUUAUUGUAUAUUAUGCUUACAUGCACUUGUUUAUUUUGUACCACGUUCAAAUAAGUUAAUCGCAUGUAGAUGUAGCAUCAAUUUUCGUGCAAUGCAUAAGUAGUCUUUAAAAUCGAGGCAAUGUUUUUAACAAGGGGACACGAGAAAUUGUGCCCCUAACUCACUAGGUAGACAUUUUCCUCAAACCAAUGUAAUUGAACAUCCUUAUUAAGAUCAAAAUUUAUAAGGUUUCAAUAAUAAUUAGACGACAAAUACUCUUUAUUCUCGAGGAUUCAUGAUGUUGUGCCCCUAACUUAUGGGACACGACUCUUAUUCUUAGUUGACUCGAAAUAUAAGAGGUUGCAUUUUAAAUUCUUCUCAAAUUCUCAAUUUUCGACACUAAGACAUCAAGUAAUCAACUAGGUACCAAUUUUGGGCAUUAUGAGGGUGCUAAUCUUUCCUCAUACGUAAUCGACUCCCGAACCUACUUCUUGGAUUUUGUAGACCGAAAAUCACAAUUUUAGUAAUUUUACUAUUUUAUUAAAAUGAUUAAAUUUCGAGAUGAUCCAAUCACAGCUUGAUAAAAAAGCAUUGGUGGCGACUCUGUCUUCGUUUUAAAAUAAAGGUUUCGACAAUAACAUUAUUAUUUCUAGAUUUGUUUAAUGUUGGUAGCAGUAUUUGUGUUGUGCUCGUAUUUUCCUUUUAUAUUUGUUAUUCUGUGAAAGCAGAAGGAGGGUUGGUGGAGGGAGUUUAUUUUUGUGGAUCAUUGAAUAGCAGAAAGAAUUUGAUGAUUUUAUUCAUUUCAAUACAUACAGGGGGUUAAUUCGUGUUUCUAACAGUUCUAUGUUAAUCGCUUGGUCUUUCCUUCUCUCCGUUACCACCCUAUAGUUUCUUUCCCCUUUUUUGCCUUUAACGUGCUUAAGUCGUGGAAUUGAAUAAAAGAAUUGUAGAUCAGAAUUGAGUACUGAAAUAUGAAGUCAGCUGCUAAUUUUUUUAAAUAGGUUAUUAUCAUAUAUGUUCCUUUUUUGUAUAAUGUUUGGGCGCUUUUGAAUCCAUGUCCUCCUACACUAGUAUUAAUGCCUAAAUCAAUCGAAUUAAGACUUUUUUAUUUUGGGAUAAUAAGUGAUAAUAUCACAAAUUCAAAAAUUUUAAAUUUAAUGUGAUUUAAAUAAUAUUUAAAUUUGAAUAUUUUUGUUGAGACAGAUUUUAAGUAGUGGCUGGACCAAUGUCAACUGAUUGGUACUAUUUACUUAGAAAACUUGCCAUCUUUAAAUUAACAAAUUUUAACACUAUAACUCUUGUGGAUACUUUGGAUGACUGUUAGUCCAUCCUUAAUAUCUAAAUGACAGAUAGCAACAUAUCUUAGAGAUUGAUUUGAAUUUGGAUAAACGGAAUCAACUUCUCAAGUUUAAUGGAUCAGAUCGAAUUAGGUAGAACUUGAAAGCAUAUACUGAAGAUUGAAGACUUAUCUUGAGCCAUUUUGAAGGUUUUACUUAUGCAUAUUAUCAUGCUAGUUUCAAGGAAAGAUUGAUUGUAAUUGAUAUGGUAUACUAGCAUGUCUAAAUUACUUAUAUAUUGUUGAGACUUGUAUAAGUUGUACGCUAAAUUAAGAGCACUUUAUUUUGUUCAUUUUUCAAGGGGGGAAAUUUAGAGGUUAAAAUCACUUGUUGUACAAUGUGUUAACAUAGUGAAUAUUUUUGCCUUGGUUCUUUUUCUGUGCUUGAAGCAGUUGAAACUAAUCUUAAUAAUGCUUGUUUUUUCCCUACAAAUAUCAAUUUUGGACCCAACAAAGUGAGACCGAUUGCGAGUAAAGGAGGUUCCUGAUGAGUGAAUGUUGGAGUUAACAAAAACAUAAAGAUGAUGGGUGAAUGUUAGUGAUUUAGCAACAUGACUCGACAGAGGCAAUUGUGUUAGUUAGCUGGCUUGUUAUAAUUAAUUUGAGUUUAUUAUAUUUGAUGUAAAAAGAGCUUAAAUCAAUGUAUCGAUUUUUAUCUAUUGUUCAAAGUUCUUCUACUGAGUUCUAAGUUUCAUUUUGUGCUUGUAUAUAUAUGUUAUCUUUGCCUCUUUACAUUAAUCACACUCAAAAUUUAUUCUCUUUUCACUAUUUUAGUCUUUUCUUUUAUCUUUCCGUUGCUUUCACUCAACCAAUCACAUUCUUAGCGUGAUUAGAUUGUGGAAUUCAAUAGAGGCAAAAAGCGAAAGAGUUGUAUUAGAAUUACUGAAAAUAUAGAGAGAGUUUGACAUUAAAAUUCUAAUAUGAGAUCUCUAAGUUUAUCAAGUUUAAGUGAUAUAUACUUAAGAACAUUAGAAAAACUGUAGGGUUGUAUAUGCAAAUAACCGAAAGAAAUUAGAAGCCUUAGCUAAAUCAUAUUUAAGUAACAUGCAUGUUUUGGAUGUAUUUUAACACGCAAAUUACGUAUACAUGAUUCAAACACCAAAGCAUCAUUUAUAUGUUAUAUAAAAUAAGCUUAUGCCUUAUCUUCAAUUUUAUAUUGCCACAAAUCCCAUCUUUCCAUUCACCACGAAUCCCAUCAUCAUGCAUGUUUUGGAUGUAUUUCAACAUCUGUUCUAUGCUCUCUUGGUGGCUUAGGAAAAAGGGAGAUUCAAUCCUCUAUGAUUAAGGUGGGCAGGUGCUGGUAAAACUUCAUAUGUGCAUUUCCACAUGAAAAUUUUAGCUUUGGAGGCAGCUUGUUUUUCCUUUUCUUAUCUGCAUGUUGAACAUGUUGGGUUAAUGUGCUUCUUCCUGUUACCAAUUUCAUAAACACUUGUUACUGUCAACGCUCCGAAUUAUGUUAUAAUAUGUUUAUUUUUUUUAAAUUAAACCAAAUUUAUAUUAUAAAAUUUUAUAAAUUUAAAUCUUCUAUUGUGUAGGAGAGUGCCUCUUAUUUUGAUCAAACAGUACACCUCGUCCCAGUGAGCAACAAGGCUUCGCCCCGAUGACAUAUCAAGCCACGUCACGACGUGUAGUCCAAAUUUUUCGACUUUUUUUCUCCCAUUUAAACUUUGUUUUAGUAUCCCACUUAAAUUUUGAUUAUACUAGCAUUCUUGUAGUCAUAUAUGCUACGAAUUUCAACCUAUUUAGUUAGUUCAGGUUUUACAACAACAGAAAUAUUUAGAUUAAGAGAAUUUUGUUCUUUGUUUCGAAGGAUUUUUCUUGCGGAGCUUUGGGUUUUCUUUUAAUUCUCUCCAUCUUUUAUACUCUCCUUUUGCCUAUAGUUCUUUAUCCUUAUUUGAGGAGUUUUUUCACGUUAAAUUUUGCGUGUUCGAUCUUUUCAAUUCUAUUUAAUUUACUUGUUCGUUGCAUACAGAGGUUAAUUUUCAAUAUAUUGAAAUAAGUGAAAACUAAUUUUUUACCCUGUUCAUCACACUAGUAUUGUAUAUUUAAUUAUUUCUUAAAAUUUUCAUAAAUUUUAUAACGUUUCACUAAAAUUAUGGUUAUGAAAUUAAGACAUAAUAAUAUAUAAGUUUAAUUAAAAACAUGAUAAUUGAUAUUAGAUUGAAUUUGAAUAAAUAAUAUUUUAAAAUAUAAUUUUAUAUAUAAUUUCUAACUUAAUUUUAAUGGUUAAUUAUUGAAUGUAGAUUGUGAUUACUGAUGAAUUUAUUGCAACACUAUUUAUAUUUUUAAAUAUCUAUUUCAAUCUUAAUAGUGUAUUUAACUGCUGCAAUUAAAACUCAUUCUGCCUAUCCAACCGCAAUUCUAUGCCCAUAUGCAACUUUAAUUGCAUUAAUUAAUGAAAUUUAAUUAUAAUAAAACCCAUUCUGCAAUUUUAUGCCUAUAUGCAACAAUUUUUAUUGUAUAGGCCAACGAUGACAUUUUUUUUUACUUAGGACGACGUAAAAAAAGUUGGCAUAGAUUAUCUCGACAAUUCUCCCGACGAUUCUAAAAACAUCGUUGUUAGCACUAUUGGUAUAGGUACCGCAACGCUUUGGAAAAAGCGUUGGCAUAAUUUAACAUAGGUCGACCUUUAUUGAAAGGUCGGCAAAGAUCUAAUCAAGGCCGACUUUUAAAAAAGAUUGGGAUAGGAGGAAAUAGGUGACCCAAAAAAGGUCAGAAUAAAGCAUUCAUAUACCUACUUUUAAAGAGUUGGGAUAGACCACUCUAUGCCAACCUUAAAAAGGUUGGGAUUGACUCAUCUAAGGCAACUUUAAACAGGUUGGGAUAGACCUUACCUGGGCCAACACCUUACAUAGUUGGUUCAGGUCCCAUGUUUUUUACGACUUUUUUUCCCGACUUUUGAAGAGCCUAUUUUGGUGAAAUAUAAGCAAAUUUGUAUGUGUUGAGUUUGAAUAAGUUUGAGACGAUAUUAAUUGAAUAGUUAACUAACAUAAAUUAAUCAUAUUAAUACAAAAUUACCACUGAAUAAUGAACUUAGUAGUUUAUGUACAAAAUCCUAAUAGAAGCAGCCAACACGUUGACAACAUGGUAUUAGUUUGUUGUCCAUUAGAUCACUUGGUAAUUACAUUCAGUAAAUGUGUUGCCAACAUGUUGUCUACCUGUUUCCAAUGACAUCAAAAAAUUCUGGGACAAUUGCAUUCAUCAACUACUAUAACAUAUAUAUAUAUAUAUACAUACAUACAUAAUAUGCAGCAGCCCUCGUUCAUCAUCAUCCGAACUAAAUGCCUCAUCAUCAGGCCUUCUAGUUUAAAAUUCAACUACGUUAACAAGUGCAAAAAUAACAUAAUAUCAAGUUUAAAAAUGAUAUCGUUCCCCCCUAUAUGGACCUAGAAAACCUGCCAUUUAAGGAUAUCCUGAAUCCACAAGAUAAUAUUUUCCUACAAAAAAGUAAAAUUUAAUAUCAAGUUUAAAAAUAAAUUAAAAAUUUUAAUAUUUUUUAUGUAAAAAGUAAUUAAAAAAUUAAAGUUCAACCUGGUGGAGAGUGUGGAAACUUCAACUCUUGCUUUCUAAAUGCUUGCAAAAAAAUUCUACUAUCAUGUGUUGUUCCUUCCCAACCAAGAAAUGCAAAAAUAAAGCACAUGUUGAAAUCACAAACUGCCAUAAUAUUUUGAGUUGGUUCCCAUUUCCUUCCGAUAUAAGGUAUUUGGCAAGAAGGCGAAAUGCAUGCUUUUAUGUGUGUUCCAUCUAUGGCCCCAAUACAAUCCUUUAAAAUAAAUACAAGUAAUGAGAUAAAAGUUAGAAAUAAUUUAUGUUUUAAAAAUAUAAAGAUUGUGUAAAUUUUACCUUAAAGUGAGGCCAAUAUCUUGUAUCAUGUCGAAUAUGGUUCGGUACUUCCUCGAAUUGACCUUCAAUGGGUUUAAUCGUGUCUAGUCCUAUUCGAGCAAAUAUAUGCAACAUAUCAGUAAAAAUUCGACUAACAGUUUCCCCAGAUCGUUGAAAUCGCUCUGUUGCAUUUGAAUUUGAUUCUCUAUUUCCAAGAAUGUACAAUGAUAAUGCUAACUUCUCCAUCACCGAUACUUUCCCAUUCUUUAAGCCAUUAUUUGUUUGCAAAUCAUGCAACAAGCUGUGAAAUAUAUUUUUUGGCAUCCUAAAACUAAUCAUGCAACGAUCAUCGUGCCCAUUUAAUACUUCGUCCACCCACAUUUGACAUGUAUAAUUUAAAUCCAUACGCGGUUGCGUAGUGAAAUAAGUUUCAUGGUGUACCAAUACACUGCUUAACACAUAUUCUUCUACUUCAUGAUAAUUGGUGUGCUUAACUUGGGUAACAAUUGUGGCUAUUCUUCGUUGAGCUUCUUCACUUAAUUCAGAGGUAUCAUAAUUGUUGUGCUCAACUUGGGUAACCUUUGAUUGCCUUGUGUUACUUUUCAUGCCAAUUUAUUUGUGUUUUCCCCAUGGAUUUCUUAUAAUUUUAAUGCCUUUUGCAUUGUAUUUAGUCAAACAUUUAUUAUUUGCUUUCUUCAUUUUGAUCAAACUUUCACAGUUUUGGUUGGUUUCUUGUUUGUUUCAACAUGAUUGAAUUGAAGUUAUUUGUAAAUGGAGAAUAUUUUUACAUUUGAUAUUUAUUAGAUUAAGAUGGAUGUUGGUAACUGCUUUGAUUACUCACCCCUUUUAGUGUUUGCUUGUGAGAUCGUAUGGUUGGUUGUAGCAUCAAAAUGUGGAAACUUCCUCUAUAUCCAUGUUUCUCUAUUACCUUCUAUUCUAUAUUUGACAUGAUUGAAGCUUUUCUUUUCUUGACUGCCAUUUUUUGUAUUUGUUAUAGAAUUUGUUGACACCAUUUUUUUGAUUGAAAAACGGGGUCGACUUGGAUUUUGAAAAUAAAACGAAAUUAGGAGUCGCCACCAAUAUUUUUUGAUGAGGUGUGAUCGGUCACCUCGUAAAAUGGUUGUUUUUGAUAAACAAUUUGAUUUUAUUAAAACAACGAGUUUGGUCUACGAAAUCCAAAAACAGGUUCGGGAGUCGGUUACGCACGAGGAAGGGUUAGCACCCUCGAUACGCCCAAAAUUGGUACCUAGUUGAUUUCUUAAUGUCUUGGUGUCGAAAAUUAAAAACUCAAAAAGAAUUUAAAAUACGAUCUCUCCUUAUAUUGUUAUUUUAAAAUUACUCAAAUAAAUCAAAAUGGAAAAUGCUUCCUUAUCUCGAAGUAACAAGAUGUCACGUCCAGUAAGUUAGGAUACAACACAUCGUAUUUUCGAGAGUAAGCUUGCCUUUAUUUUUUGUUUAAACCUCAUUUAUUUUAAUUUCAAAAGGAUGUUCGGUUAUUUAGGAUCAACGCGAGAAGAAUCGAAGCUCAGUAAGUUAGGGCACGAUUUUCUCGAAUUUUCUAAAUACGAAAUAUUGCCUUAAUUUGAAAGUUUAAAAAGGAUAUUUGGCUAUUUGGUCGAACGAGAAAUCGAAACCCAGCACGUUAAGGCACGUUUUCUCGAAUUUUCCAAACGCGAAAUAUUGCCUUAAUUAAAAAAAUUUUCUUUUUGAUGUAUGGUGUUAAUAUGCAUAGCAAAACAAUAAUGAAUAUGAUGGCAUAAAAACAACACGAGUAAUAGCAACGGAAAUAAGAUUAUUAAAUAUAAAUAAUAAUGAAAAUGAAGAUAAAUAAAUAAAUAACGAAUAGAUGUAAAGAACGUAUAUACAUGAAUGUACACAAAAUUAUGAAAAUAUGAAAAAUCUAUGUACGUAUACGUAUUGUGAGAUUAUUAAAUAUAAAAAUAUAUGUAUACAUGUAUACAUGUAUAGGUAUAUGAAUUAAAAUAUGUAAAUAGAUAAGUAUAUAUAUAUGCAUGUAGAAAAUAUGAAAUAUAAAAAAUAUAUUUAAAAUAAAUAGAGAAUAUGUACGUGUAUAUAUAUAUAAAUUAUAAGAUAUAGUAAGAAUGUAUAUGAGUAUAUAUAUACAUAUAUAUAUUAGAGAAAAAUGUGUACGUGUAUAUAUUUAUGAAAAUGAAAAUAUGUAUAUAAAUAUAUAGGUAUGUACAUAAGUUGUAAAAUAUAUAAAAAUAUAUAAGUAUAUAUAUGUACCGAAAUUUUAAAUAUAAAUAUAAAUAAAUAGAUAACAAUAUAAUAGUAAUGUAAUAUAAUAGUAAUAAUAAUAUUAAAAUAACUAUUUAAUGAUAUAAUAACUAAAAUAACAAAUAAGGGAUUAAAUUGAAACUAAACUAAAAUUGGGGGCGAAUCGCAAACAAUAAAAUGAUUUGGGGCCGAAAUAUGAGAUAUUUAAAGGCUAGGGGACUGAAAUGAGACGUGCGCAAAGUACGGAGGACUGAUCGGGAAAUAAGCCCAAGUCCUGAAGCGUCGCAUUUAUGCGCGGACUAAAUUGGAGCAGACGAAAAAAAUAUGCGGCCAAAAUUAAAAGAAUUGAAAGGCUACAUGGAACGUGUCGCAGAGCUAGAGGGACCAAAAGCGCAAAUAAACCAUUAGGGCAAAGUGCGCAGGUCUCCCCUUUAAACGGCGCCGUUUUCAUCACUAUAAAAGCAAAAAUUUUUACUCCCUCUGCCGUUUCACUCUCUUUCAAAGAAAAUUGAAAAAAUAAAAGGGAGGCUUCCCCUUUUCUGUUCGGGUUCCAGGCCCAGCCACCGUCGUGCCUUCCCUUGCCUGGUGGCCGGAGCCAUGCAAGGGCGCUUUCAGGCCGCGCGUUGCAGCGCACUCAGAGAUCGAGGCCAAGGAACGGGGGGAAACGAGGGGAAAAAAGAAAAGCUUCGGGCCUCUCCUUAAACUCGCGUCUGACGACGGCGAAGAGCCGACGACGACGACGGCUUCAGUGGGCCGAUUCAGGUGGUUUUCUUCCCCUUUUCCCUUUUUUCUUUUUAUUAAUAAUAAGGAAGUAUUCAAAAAAAUGAAAAAAUAGAUAAAUAAUAAAUAAAAUAAAUCGAAAGAGGAAGCAAUUUGUUAUUUUAUUUCAAGUGUGUUUUUUUAAUCGGAAGAAGAAGUUACAAUGGUGAGAUUUUCGGUUUUUAUAACCGAUUACAACUGUUUAUUUUCUAUUUGUUUAUUUCUGCUUGGCUUCUUGCAGGUGGUCGUGGCCAACAAUGGUGGCAGAGGAGUGCGAGUGGGCGUGGCAGACGAGGAGGUGGAGCGGCACACAUGCGGCGCUUGGAGGCUAGGGUUUCCUUUGAUAGCUAAAUUUUUUUUUAAGUUUUGUGGGUUAGGGUUUUCCUAAUUUUGGGCCAGAUUUUGGGCUUGGGAUUUUAUUUUGGAUUUUAUUAUUUCGGUUAUUUUGUUGGUAUGGGCCCGGGCAAAAAUGGGCUUUUACAGCUGCCCCUCUUUGCUCAUUUUCGUGUAACGAGAAUAGAGCAAAGACAUCAAAAGGGCCAAUUUUGCCCGGUCUUGCCGAGUCUUGACUUUUUGGUGCUCAUCUUCUUCAAGUAGCCUUAUUCCAGCCUGCUACGUCUUGUUGCUUCGAUCCACUCUACUGCAACUUCAGAUACGCCUUGUAGCUUCAAUCUACUCUGCUACGACUCCAUGGGGAUGAGAUUUGUGUUUUUAGUCUGCUCCACUACUAUUUAGGGAGAUAAGACUGGAUGUGAUCUACUCCACUACUACUUAGGGAGAUAAGAUCUGUGGUUUCGUCUACUCCGCUACUGCUUAGGGAGAUAAGACUUGAUGCGAUCUGCUCCACUACUGCUUAGGGAGAUAAGAUCUGUGGUUUCGUCCGCUCCGCUACUGCUUAGGGAGAUAAGACUUGAUGCGAUCUGCUCCACUAUUGCUUAGGGAGAUAAGAUCUGUGGUUUUGUCUGCUCCACUACUGCUUAGGGAGAUAAGACUUGAUGCGAUCUGCUCCACUAUUACUUAGGGAGAUAAGAUCUGUGGUUUUGUCCGCUUCGCUACUGCUUAGGGAGAUAAGACUUAAUGCGAUCUGCUCCACUACUGCUUAGAGAGAUAAGAUCUAUGGUUUUGUCUGCUCCACUACUGCUUAGGGAGAUAAGACUGGAUGCGAUCUGCUCCACUACUGCUUAGGGAGAUAAGACUGUAAUCUUCGAUCUAUUCCACUAUUUCCCAGGGAAGUAAGAUUAUUGGCUUCAAUGUACUCCACUGUAAUCUCAGGGAGGUAAAAUCCGUCAUAUUCGAUCUGCUUCUCUGCCAAAUACAGGAAGGCAAGAUCUGUAAUCUUCAAUCUAUUCCACUGCCAAAUACAGGGAGAUAGAGUUAUCGGCUUCAAUGUACUCCACUGUAGUCAGGGAGGUAAAAUCUGCCAUCAUCAAUCUGCUUCUUUACCAAAUACAGGAAGGCAAGAUCUGCAAUCUUCAAUCUAUUCCACUGCCAACCAGGGAGAUAGAGUUAUCGGCUUCAAUGUACUCCACUGUAGUCACAGGGAGGUAAAAUCUGUCAUCUUCGAUCUACUCCACUACUGCUUAGGGAGAUAAGAUCUGUAAUCUUCAAUCUAUUCCACUGCUGUCUAGGGAGACAGAGUUAUCGGCUUCAAUGUACUCCACUGUAGUCAGGGAGGUAAAAUCUGCCAUCUUCGAUCUGCUUCUCUGCCAAAUACAGGAAGGCAAGAUCUGCAAUCUUCAAUCUAUUCCACUGCCAAAUACAGGGAGAUAGAGUUAUCGGCUUCAAUGUACUCCACUGUAGUCAGGGAGGUAAAAUCUGCCAUCUUCGAUCUGCUUCGUUGCCAAAUACAGGAAGGCAAGAUCUGCAAUCUUCAAUCUACUUCCUACCAAUAUAGGAAGACAGGACCUGCUAUCUUCGAUCUACUUCACGCCAAUACAAGAAGACAAGUUUUGCUUUCUUCGAUCCACUCCCUACCAAUAUAGGGAGACAGGACCUGUUAUCUUCGAUCUACUUCACGCCAAUACAUGAAGACAAGAUCUGCAUCUUGGAUCCACUUCCUAUCAAUAUAGGAAGACAGGACCAGCCAUCUUCGAUCUACUUCACGCCAAUACAUGAAGAUAAGAUCUUCUUUCUUUGAUCUACUUCACUACCAGUAUGGGAAGACAAGAUCUGCAUCUUCGAUCCACUUCCUACCAAUAUAGGAAGACAGGACCUGCUAUUUUUGAUCUACUUCACGCCAAUACAUGAAGACAAGAUCUGCUUUCUUUUAUGACUUCAAUCCAUCCCACUGCAACUUCAGAGGUAUAGGAUCUGUUUCUUUGAUCUGUUCUCUGGGGAACAUGACCUGUAAAAUCCAUUUUAUGGACCUAUUUAUGCCUAGUGUUUAGGAUGACAUGAUCAGAAUAAAUCAAAUGCUCCUAACUAGAUGUGUAUGAAUGAUUUUUGCAUGAAUGUAGAAUGUCAUGAGAAUGAUCCUUUUUUUAAUGUUUGGGUUAUCGUUCCUCUUUGUUUGUCAAGGUUCUAUCACUGAUGUUUUCCAGUUCAGCAAGUAUCUUUGACAGAAGAUUCAAAGAAAUGGUCUCAAUUUAGACUAUCCUUUCUCAAAUGUUUCCAACCCUUAGGUUUGGUUAGUUCUAAACAAUAAUCAUGUUUCAGGUCCUUGUAUUAUUUAGAAACUUUCAGAGUAAUAUGCAGAACUUCUUCUGCAUGAGUAUUGUCAGUCCAUUAAUCGUUAUUUCAAUGAAAAAUGCUUGAAAAAGAUUAUCAAAAUGGACAAAAUGAAAUUUUGUUGAGAGCAAAGCUCUAAACAAACAAAUCAAUCAAGAUAGCAUUUUUUGCUGAGAUACGAGAUGAAUAAGAUGAAAAAGAUUAUCACAAUGGAUAAGAUGGAAAUUUGUUAAGAGUAAAGCUCUAAAUGAACAAAUUAAUCAAGAUAGCAAAUUUGCUAGAAUACAAAAUGAGAAUACAUUAAUCAAGGUGGCGUAUUUUGUCAAAAAUACAAAAAAUGAAUGAAAUGGAAAUAGGUGCCCCAGAUAUCAUAGCAUGAGUUUCUCUGCCCCAAACAUUUUGAAGACCCUUUUGAACUUGAUAUGUGUCUAGAAGACCAAGAAGACUUUGUUGAUGCCCUAAGAUGUAGCAUCUCUCCUUCUUAUUAAUUCAGAAAGGGCAAGACUACCGCAUGCCCCACCUUUGAUCAAAAUUUGAACUGCCCAUUCCUGGGUUUUCAAUUCAAAACCCUUUGGUCUCAAGGCGCCCUUUGCGGGUUUUCACCUUGGCCUCUCCUUUUUUCUUUUUUCAUUCUUCCUUUCUUUUUUCUUUUUUCUCAAGUGAAGUGUUCAUCACGUGAAUCAAAAUUCUCAAGAUUAGGCAGGUUCUUGCCAUCCAUCUCGGUCAAUAUCGACGUUUUUCAGAUAAGGCCUUCCUCAUAAGGUCCUUUCCAGUUUGACAUACACUUUCCUAUGAAGUCCUUUUGCAUGGGAAGGAUCUUCCUCGAUAUUAGGUCCCCUCAUGGAAUUCUCUAGGGCGAACCUUUUUUUGGUGAGCUCGCAUCAUUUACUUUUGGUACAUUUGACCAUGACGGAUAGCUUUUAACCUUUUCUCUUCAAUUAUAUCAGACUUGGAUCCAUUCUGCUUCAUCUAACUUCAAUUCUGACAAGACUCGAAGGGAAGAAAUAUCACCUUCGAUGGGUAAGACUGUCUCUAUUCCAUAUACCAAUGAGAACUGAGUUGCCCCAGUAGAGGUCUUUUCUUUUAUUUUUGGUUUUUUUUUUUGCUUUUUAUUUUCUAGUUUUUUUUCUUUUUAUUUUUGCUCUUUUUUUUUUUGCCUCCACUGAACUGUUCAUUUUGAGGCGACAUGAUGUCAAUCUUGAACAGACUGCAAACUUCUGAUGUCGUGCGGUUGUUCAAAUUCAAUGCAUAGUCUAAUAUGAUCAUUUUUGGCAUUCCAUAUUGACAUAUGAUUCUUCAAGAAAUUUUCUGAUUGUCAGCUUUGUGAUAUUGGCAUAUGAAACAACCUUUACCCACUUUAUGAAGUAACCGACGACCACAAAGAUGAAUCGAUAACCGCCAGAAGCUUUUGGCGAGAUUAGCUCAAUGACCUCCAUGCCCCCACAUAGAGAAAGGUCAUGGAAAAGUCAUAACAUGAAUAGAUAGAGGCAUAUGAAUUUUGUCCCCAUAAAUUUGGCACUUAUGGCAUUUCUUGGUAUGACUGACGCAAUCCCGUUCCAUGGUGGACCAGCAGUACCUAAAUCUUAUGAUUUACUUGGCCAUUUCAAAAUCAAUGCAUGUGUUCCUUAGACACCCUUAUGGACAUUUUCUAAUAGUUUUUAGCCUCAACAGCAUUCACAUGUCUUGGUAGCUCAGGCAUAUCUUGAUCAUACGAAAACAUCUUUGAAUUCUCAAAGUAACUCAAUGACGUCUCGCUUUAUCUCUAGGGUGAUACAGGCUCUGAUUUUCACCUUUUUCUCCUCUCCUAAGCUUACAAUUUCCCACUGAUUUUUUUUGUAAGGUAAGAUCUAUUUUUCGACUUCCUCUACCAUCCUUAACAAAUCAGGAGAUAAGCUACAGUCUCGAUCAUCUUCGAAGUUUUGAGGUUCCUCUAGACAUGUAUCUUGUUCAAAAGGAGAUUCUGAGUCAAUAGCAGUAUCGCUCAUAUCAUUGAUAUUUGGAGACCUAUUUUAGGGACGUAGGAAGACUCAAAUAGCUUAAUGAAUCAAAGGAUAAUUAUCUGUAUGGUAUGAGUAGGAAUGAAAUGGGAGGAACAAGAGAAUGUUUGCCAAAACAAGACACAAAGAUGCAUUUCGUUGAAAUAAAGAAUAGUGGACAUGUGCCUUUUUCACAAAAGAAUUUUCUAUUUCUUCCAGGCUUAGAGCAAUAAGAGCGUUCCAAAUAUUACUCUGAAAUGGUUUUAAAAAAUUACAAGAAUCUCCUCUACAGUCCAGUUGUUUAGAACACCUCUAGGGAUGUAGAAACAAAUCCCUGAUAGGUUUUUUAAUUCCUUCUUCAAAGGCACAAACAUCUUUACUUUCCAAGCCAUCGAUAUAUUCAAAGAAUUUCAAUUCUAUAUCAUCCAUCUGGUUUUGUACUAGAGUUCUAAACUCGACGUACUUUUGGAUUUUAGGAAAUUUAUUAUAUAAAAUGAAAUGUAAUGUUGAUGCAUGAAUGCGUAUUUUUGAAUUUUAGGAAAUUUAUUAUAUGCAAUGAAAUGUAAUGUUGAUGCAUGAAUGUGUAUUUUUGGAUUUUAGGAAAUUUAUUGCAUGCAAUGUAAUGUUGAUGCAUGAAUGCAAAAAAGAGACGUUGAUUCUUGGUUCAAUUCUAUUAGAACAACUUUACUAGAAAACAAAUCUCUUUACAUAAAAUGGAUAUAUAUACGGUUCUGCCCUCAUAGGCGGAGACAUUCGAUCCUCUUCUUCAUUUGAGCGUUAAGAUAAAUCUCACGAACUCUUCAAAAGGGACGUAUCUUCUAUCUCCUUUUUACUCAAUCCGGGCCGUGACUCGUUGCUCACUCAACCUCGUGGUGCUCGUUGGCUUCUCUUUUAAGAAAGUUCAGCGGCUCUCGAAUAAUCCUUGUCACCUUGAAUUCUCGAGCCACGGAGCAAUGGUUGUGUAGUUCUCCAUUAAACUAUCAUCCUUCUCUUAUCACGUUUUCUUAGACCAUAUUCGGACAACCGUAUUAUUAUCCACUUUAUCAAGAAACCCAUUUCCUUAUGACAAGCUCUCUAUUUAACAACCGAACGUGAAUCAACACCUCUUUUUAUGAUGAAAAUGCAAUGCAAUCAUAACAAAAAGAAAACAGGUUAGUACAAAGCAAAAGCAACCAAGAAUAAAUAGAACACCUAUUUGGGUGAAUAUUAGGGGUUCGAAGUGGUUCUACCUAGGGUGGGCUCCUAAGGUUCACUACAUGAGGUUUGGUUCUAAAGUAAGGGUACCCGAACCAGCAGAUUCCUCGAUCCUCACCCAUUAUAGGCUCAUGCGGACCGAGUUCGGUUCAGGGGGAUACAUUUCUCUAUGGCCAUGCGGAGAUGAAAAUCUCACAAAGACAUAGGUACGGAUGUAUCCCGGAAGCGAUUCACUAUCCCAUGCGGAGGUGAAAACCUCACGAAGGCGUAGUUUCUCACUCCCACUUAAAAGGUGUGACCAACGGUCAUGCAAUGGAAUGUGCAGAAAUAUACACCUAAACUCCAAACAAAGCAGUAAUUAUAUACAAAUAAUAAAAGCCAAAAUAAAGGCAAAUGAAAUAUAAUAAAAGGACCUUAUCUUUAAAUCAAGUUUUCAAUUUUUUGACACAAAGACAAAAAGUAAUCAACUCGUGGCUUGACUUUCUUAUUUUACGUUCCCAGCGGAGUCGCCAAGCUGUUGACACCAUUUUUUUGAUUGAAAAACGGGGUCGACUUGGAUUUUGAAAAUAAAACGAAAUUGGGAGUCGCCACCAAUCUUUUUUGAUGAGGUGUGAUCGGGUCACCUCAUAAAAUGGUUGUUUUUGAUAAACAAUUUGAUUUUAUUAAAACAACGAGUUUGGUCUACGAAAUCCAAAAACAGGUUCGGGAGUCGGUUACGCACGAGGAAGGGUUAGCACCCUCGAUACGCCCAAAAUUGGUACCUAGUUGAUUUCUUAAUGUCUUGGUGUCGAAAAUUAAAAACUCAAAAAGAAUUUAAAAUACGAUCUCUCCUUAUAUUGUUAUUUUAAAAUUACUCAAAUAAAUCAAAAUGGAAAAUGCUUCCUUAUCUCGAAGUAACAAGAUGUCACGUCCAGUAAGUUAGGAUACAACACAUCGUAUUUUCGAGAGUAAGCUUGCCUUUAUUUUUUGUUUAAACCUCAUUUAUUUUAAUUUCAAAAGGAUGUUCGGUUAUUUAGGAUCAACGCGAGAAGAAUCGAAGCUCAAUAAGUUAGGGCACGAUUUUCUCGAAUUUUCUAAAUACGAAAUAUUGCCUUAUUUUGAAAGUUUAAAAAGGAUAUUUGGCUAUUUGGUCGAACGAAAAAUCGAAACCCAGCACGUUAGGGCACGUUUUCUCGAAUUUUCCAAACGCGAAAUAUUUCCUUAAUUAAAAAAAAUUUCUUUUUGAUGUAUGGUGUUAAUAUGCAUAGCAAAACAAUAAUGAAUAUGAUGGCAUAAAAACAACACGAGUAAUAGCAACGGAAAUAAAAUUAUUAAAUACUAAUGAAAAUGAAGAUAAAUAAAUAAAUAACGAAUAGAUGUAAAGAACGUAUAUACAUAAAUGUACACAAAAUUAUGAAAAUAUGAAAAAUCUAUGUAUGUAUACGUAUUGUGAGAUUAUUAAAUAUAAAAAUAUAUGUAAAUAUGUAUACAUGUAUAGGUAUAUGAAUUAAAAUAUGUAAAUAGAUAAGUAUAUAUAUAUGCAUGUAGAAAAUAUGAAAUAUAAAAAAUAUAUUUAAAAUAAAUAGAGAAUAUGUACGUGUAUAUAUAUAUAAAUUAUAAGAUAUAGUAAGAAAUGUAUAUGAGUAUAUAUAUACAUAUAUAUAUUAGAGAAAAAUGUGUACGUGUAUAUAUUUAUGAAAAUGAAAAUAUGUAUAAAAAUAUAUAGGUAUGUACAUAAGUUGUAAAAUAUAUAAAAAUAUAUAAGUAUAUAUAUGUACCGAAAUUUUAAAUAUAAAUAUAAAUAAAUAGAUAACAAUAAUAAUAGUAAUGUAAUAUAAUAGUAAUAAUAAUAUUAAAUAACUAAUUUAAUGAUAAAAUAACUAAAAUAACAAAUAAGGGAUUAAAUUGAAAACUAAACUAAAAUUUGGGGGCGAAUCGCAAACAAAUAAAAUGAUUUGGGGCCGAAAUAUGAGAUAUUUAAAGGCUAGGGGACUGAAAUGAGACGCGCGCAAAGUACGGAGGACUGAUCGGGAAAUAUGCCCAAGUCCUGAAGCGUCGCAUUUAUGCGCGGACUAAAUUGGAGCAGACGAAAAAAAUAUGCGGCCAAAAUUAAAAGAAUUGAAAAGCUACAUGGAACGUGUCGCAGAGCUAGAGGGACCAAAAGCGCAAAUAAACCAUUAGGGCAAAGUGCGCAGGUCUCCCCUUUAAACGGCGUCGUUUUCAUCACUAUAAAAGCAAAAAUUUUUACUCCCGUUUCACUCUCUUUCAAAGAAAAUUGAAAAAAUAAAAGGGAGGCUUCCCCUUUUCUGUUCGGGUUCCAGGCCCAGCCGCCGUCGUGCCUUCCCUUGCCUGGUGGCCGGAGCCAUGCAAGGGCGCCUUCAGGCCGCGCGUUGCAGCGCACUCAGAGAUCGAGGCCAAGGAACGGGGGGAAACGAGGGGAAAAAAGAAAAGCUUCGGGACUCUCCUUAAACUCGCGUCUGACGACGGCGAAGAGCCGACGACGACGACGGCUUCAGUGGGCCGAUUCAGGUGGUUUUCUUCCCCUUUUCCCUUUUUUCUUUUUAUUAAUAAUAAGGAAGUAUUCAAAAAAAUGAAAAAAUAGAUAAAUAAUGAAUAAAAUAGAUCGAAAGAGGAAGCAAUUUGUUAUUUUAUUUCAAGUGUGUUUGUUUUUUUUAAUCGGAAGAAGAAGUUACAAUGGUGAGAUUUUCGGUUUUUAUAACCGAUUACAACUGUUUAUUUUCUAUUUGUUUAUUUCUGCUUGGCUUCUUGCAGGUGGUCGUGGCUGACAAUGGUGGCAGAGGCGUGCGAGUGGGCGUGGCAAACGAGGAGGUGGAGUGGCACACAUGCGGCGCUUGGAGGCUAGGGUUUCCUUUGAUAGCUGAAAUUUUUUUUUAAGUUUUGUGGGUUAGGGUUUUCCUAAUUUUGGGCCAGAUUUUGGGCUUGGGAUUUUAUUUUGGAUUUUAUUAUUUGGGUUAUUUUGUUGGUAUGGGCCCGGGCAAAAAUGGGCUCUUACAGAAUUGAUGAAUGAAGGAGGGACAAAACUAGGAGAAUGUACUCUUUCUACUAAGGUGAUAUUGUGAUUGUAAUAUAUGGCAGCAGUGCCUAAACAGACAAGUAUGGCUAUAAAGUCUUACAAAAAUCAGGCUCCGAUGUUGGUUAAGAAUUACUUAUUAGCUGAUCCUUUCGCUCCUUAUACUUCCAUCCGCGGUGGCAUUCUUGCUUGCAAAGUGGUAUGCUGAAUCUUUCCCCUUGUAAAUAUGUUUUAACUUUUUAAUUCAGGAUCAUUGAAUCCUAUGGCAGGAUGUUUCCUUAUACCCUUUAAUGAAUCUUGCAGGAAUGAAUUUUACAUAUUUUAAAUUAACUCAUAUAUGUUAUGAUGUUUUUAUAUAAUUCUGUUUACAUGUUCCCUCAUCCCUCAGGGUUAGAGCAGAUGACAAGCCUGAAGAAGGCAAUGCAAACUCUGAUGUUAAAGCACCAUCUGGAGGCAAAGGACCUACUGAGGCUGUCGAUAAGUUAUCAGAACAUAUGAGGAGGUCUUUCAGAAUUGAGGCAGUAGGAUUGUCGAGUUUGUGGUUUUGCUUUGGAUCAGGUGUCUUAGCUCGCUUUGUUGUGGAGUGGGAAUCGGGUAAAGAAGGUUGCACAAUGCAUGUGUCUCCUUAUCAACUUUGGCCUCAUACCAAGGUUCGGUUUUUUUUCUUGUUUUGUUUUUUCCUCUUUCUUUUAAAAUAAUUUCCUCAAUUCUUUUCUCAUACCAUUUUACCAUGAUUUUAUGUUCCUUAGUAUCAGUUGUUAGCCACUUUUUUUCUUCAACAUUUCUUUUCUUAUGUCAUAUUAAAAAUUUCAUGGAUUAAGAUGCUAUGUUGGCUCAUUUUGCUGCUUGGCAUGGUAUCAUUUAUUUCCUGAAUUUUUUAGAAUUACUUGUGCCAUGGUGGUUACUUCUAUGCUCGGGUAAAAUCUUUUAUACCUUUGUUAGCUUUUGUUUUUUUUUUUAAAGAUUUGAGGAUUCUUAUCACAUAUAGGUCAAUUUUUUCAUCCUUUUUCUUUUUAUGCUUUACUUCAUUCUAGUAUUUCAGCAAACUCAUAGAUUUUACAUGUUCUAUAAUUUUUGUUAACAUCAUUAGAAAAUCUGAAAUGCAUCACUGCAAUUGUUAAGGUGUAUUCUGUUAAUAUGUUUUAUUAUUUCUGUCUCGAUGCUUAAGACCUGGUAAGUUGAAGUUAUCCCUAUUCCUUAUUUUCUGGCAGAUUUAUUAAUGGAAAUUAUAGGUUGUAAUGACUUUUUGGAGUCCUUUUACUUGAUUUAUUUUCCAUUCUGUCUUUCUAAAGGACUUAAUAAUGCAGGUACUUUCAGCUUUUGGAUUUGUGCAUAAGAUUACUACCUUUGAGAAGACAGUUGGAUUUCAGGUCAAUAAAUUAAAUCUCCUUCUUCCUAGAUUGAUUGGUUUGCAAUUUUUAUCAUUUAUAGCUUGUUUGCAGUUUUUGAUCUGUUUAAUUACUUGACUAGUGUUCUUUGUUUAUAUAUAGUCAGGGAUGUAUCUAUUGAAUGGGGACUGAUGCUAUUGAAGUAGGGGAGACUCCAUUUGACUCCUAUCCUAGUUCCUUUGAGGUACUAUUUUCGAGUUCCUUUCACUUUUUUUCUAUUCUAACUUUGAAUCUACUGUAUAAUUUGAUCGUUAUCGGGAAUAAUUACAUGCAUUUGUUUGUGUUUUUUCUUUGCAUAAGCAAGUGUUAAAAGCCUUAGAAAUUCGGUUUGUGCCCUGCAAGCUUUAAGUUAUAAUGUUUUUGAGUUUAGAUGUUUAGGUAAUUUCAUUGUGUAUGACUUAAAAUUAUAGCUAGUAAUAAUAUUACUAAAUAGUGUGUAAAGCAUGCUAAAUUAUAGGUCCAAAGAUCAAAAGAUAAAAUGUUGCUGCCUAUGGGAUAAGGUCAGUAUAUAGGUCCGAAAAUUUAUUUUUUGCGAAUAACUAUUUCUAUCAGUUUCUAUUUGACUGAAAGUGAUUAAAUCGUUUCUAGUUAUGUGUUUGAUUCGUAUUGUUUAAGUCCAUAUUCAAAGAAAUUCGAAGUACGAGGAUAGUAGUUGAAAGCUGGGAAUGAUACAAAUCCAUAUCAUGCAAAACAGAGAGUAAUUUUCGGAGAAGUUAAAAAUUUAAAUAAAAAUCCAUAAACUUUAAAAAAUUGAACCAGAAAAGUGAGAGUCCAGCUAUCGUUGUCGGCUAUUAAUUCUUAUCUUAUUCAUAAAUAAUUAUUAAAUUGUAUUAGUAGCCGAGAAAAGUCAAGUAAAGUUUGAGGUUCAUUAAGAAAAGAAAAGAAAAAUCACUUCUUUCAAUUUCUUUCUUUGGAAACUAGGCUUCUUUAAGCUAUUACCAAUAAUGGAGUUCCAGAUACCCUUAUUCCAGCUCCUCAUCAGCUUCCUCCUGUUUUUGUUUAUGGUAAUCACAAGUGUAAGGAAAUCAAAAGCUAAGAAUUUAACUCAAAAGUUGAUUCCAGGGCCUUGGAAAUUACCAUUGAUAGGAAAUCUGCACCAGCUCGCCGCUUCUGGUCUACCCCAUCGCACCUUACGUGACUUGGCUACGAAACAUGGUGACUUCAUGCAUCUGCAACUGGGUCAAGUUUCCACCGUGGUCGCUUCUUCUCCAGAAAUGGCUAAAGAGAUUAUGAAAACACAUGAUAUCGUCUUUGCUAAUAGGCCUUUUCUCGUUGUGGCCAAGAUGACAACUUAUGAGUGCACUGAUAUUGUCUUUGCACCAUAUGGAACCUAUUGGAGAAAUCUGCGGAAAAUUUGCACAUCGGAGCUUCUGAGUGCAGCUCGGGUCGCUUCCUUCCGAUCCAUAAGAGAAGAGGAAGUGUUGAAUCUUGUCGAAACUAUAAAAUCAAAUGGAGGGUUGGCUGUGAAUCUGACCGAGAAAGUUUAUCCAAUGAGUUAUACAAUAACAGCGAGGGCAACCUUUGGCAAGAAAUGCAAAGAUCAAGAAGCUUUCAUAUCAGUUGUUGCUGAGGAAAGCAAGGUGAACUCGGGUUUCUUUGUUUCCGAAUUUUUUCCUUCACUUAAAUUCUUGGAUGUUGUUUCUGGUCUAAAGCAUAGAGUUGAAA
rnacentral:lncRNA from 1 species